AACGGCCGUACCAUGCUGAAUAUACCGGUUCUCGUUAGAUCACUGAAGUCAAGCAUCAUUGGGCGCGGUCAGUACUUGGGUGGGUGACCACCUGGGAACACUGCGUGCCGUU
rnacentral:rRNA from 1 species